rnacentral:rRNA from 1 species
GACGAACGCUGGCGGCGUGCCUAAUACAUGCAAGUCGAGCGCAGGAAACUGACGGAACUCUUCGGAGGGAAGGCAGUGGAAUGAGCGGCGGACGGGUGAGUAACACGUAAGGAACCUGCCUCAAGGAGUGGGAUAACUCCGAGAAAUCGGAGCUAAUACCGGAUAGUUCAACGGACCGCAUGGUCCGCUGAUGAAAGGCGCUCCGGCGUCACCUUGAGAUGGCCUUGCGGUGCAUUAGCUAGUUGGUGGGGUAACGGCCCACCAAGGCGACGAUGCAUAGCCGACCUGAGAGGGUAAUCGGCCACACUGGGACUGAGACACGGCCCAGACUCCUACGGGAGGCAGCAGUAGGGAAUCUUCCACAAUGGACGAAAGUCUGAUGGAGCAACGCCGCGUGAGUGAUGAAGGUUUUCGGAUCGUAAAACUCUGUUGUAAGGGAAGAACACGUACGAGAGGGAAUGCUCGUACCUUGACGGUACCUUACGAGAAAGCCACGGCUAACUACGUGCCAGCAGCCGCCGUAAUAC